rnacentral:rRNA from 1 species
AUUGAACGCUGGCGGUAUGCUUAACACAUGCAAGUCGAACGGUAACAGGCCUUCGGGCGCUGACGAGUGGCGGACGGGUGAGUAACGCGUAGGAAUCUGCCUCAUAGUGGGGGACAACGUGGGGAAACUCACGCUAAUACCGCAUACGCCCUACGGGGGAAAGCGGGGGAUCUUCGGACCCCGCGCUAUGAGAUGAGCCUGCGUUAGAUUAGCUAGUUGGUAGGGUAAAGGCCUACCAAGGCGACGAUCUAUAGCUGGUCUGAGAGGACGAUCAGCCACACUGGGACUGAGACACGGCCCAGACUCCUACGGGAGGCAGCAGUGGGGAAUAUUGGACAAUGGGCGCAAGCCUGAUCCAGCAAUACCGCGUGUGUGAAGAAGGCCCUAGGGUUGUAAAGCACUUUCAAUUGGGAGGAAAACCUGCCGGUCAAUACCCGGCAGCUUGACAUUACCUGCAGAAAAAGCACCGGCUAACUACGUGCCAGCCGCCGCCGUAA